rnacentral:rRNA from 1 species
CGCGUAGGCGGACUUUCAAGUCAGGUGUGAAAUCUAUGGGCUUAACUCAUAGCUUGCAUUUGAUACUGUUGGUCUUGAGUACAGGAGAGGAAAGCGGAAUUCCCGGUGUAGCGGUGAAAUGCGUAGAUAUCUGGAAGAACACCAGUAGCGAAGGCGGCUUUCUGGACUGAUACUGACGCUAAAGCGCGAAGGCUUGGGUAGCAAACA